rnacentral:tRNA from 1 species
GGUCGCUUAGCUCAGCCGGUUAGAGUACUUGCUUGACAUGCAAGGGGUCACAGGUUCAAUUCCUGUAGCGACCACCA